AGGAAGAUCCUCAGUACAUUUAUUAAAGCACAUUGAAUAUAAACUUUCGGCUCAUUUUCUUAUCAGAAGACAUUAAUGCAAUUGAAAGUAUAUAAAACCCAUUUGAUUAUAAGAAAAAUAAAUGGGAUAUUCCACUAGUAAUGAACAGAAACAGGGACUUCACUGCCUUGCUCCAUCAAUUCAAGGACCAAACGGCCAAAAGAUUGGCCUUCUUGGGUGGGCACAGGUAGCUUCUCCCAUGGAAACUUGCAGAACUUGGAAGGCCAAGCAGGUAAUAAGUGAGAAGAUUGUAAAUUAUGUAUAUAAAGAAGAGUUUGAUUGAUAGUUCAACACCAAAUCCAGAGACUCAUAGACCAUAUAUCUUAACAACCAGAAUAAGCACCAAUAGUAAACUUCAUGGAAGUCCUAGAAUGGAAAUGAUUGUGAAAUUCAGGGUUGCCUUAAAAUCACUUCCUCUCUCCUUUCUACUCUCAACUGCAAUUGGGCGCCUUAAGCCUAGGUUGUGCCCGUUGAAUGUGAACAACAAUGACAUCUCCCUGGUGGCCUCUUUCCUGUACUAGUUCACAAAUGCAGGUGUCAUUUUCAUCCACAUGGUUCCACUUGCAGAAAGCUCUCCACCCGCUAAUCCAUGUCCGACCGUCCUUCCAGACAGCAACAUCUCCAGGCCAUGAUCUCCCGAGAGGGUCACGAAGCAACACCCUUGGAGGUAAUGCAAUGUUAUGGUCUUUAAGUACAUCUACUGGAACAUACUGUGAGAGGGGAAAAGGAAAGCUUCUUUGAGUAACUAGCAAACUGGCAAAAACUAGCAACUAUAAGUCAGGUCACUGCUCUGUAUAAUCAACAAAAUAACAAGAAAUCAAGUAUAAGCCAUCAAUUGGAUUUCUUAAGAAACCUGGAUUCAAUGAGUGUAUGCAUGCAUGUAUGGGACAAAUUACAAACCAUGGCCUCUCUUAAUCAGUCAGUGAUCUGCCUCUCUUGCAUAUUUGGCAGUAGCAAGACUACUGAGAAAAGGAAAUGCUUCUUUCAAGGAAAUCUCCCCAACCCACCUAUUCAACCAAAGCUUGGGCUGCUUAUCAUUCCCAACCAAAAUAGCAAUUCAAAGAAUGACCUCAUCCCACCCCUCUCUAAUGGCUUCCCACAACCCAACACCAUGUGUAUUCUUUACCUCUUAAGUCCUUUGAACCCGCUCCAUCUCAUCAAACCUUUCUCGGAUGACUUUCCUCCAAAAAACCGUCCUUCAUAGCAAAUCUCCACAAACACUUAUCAAGUAUGGUUUUAUUUAGGAUAUUUACCCAAUGAUAUUCAUCCUAGAUAGCCAUCAAAUGUUAUUGGGAAUUACCCAUUAAGAUAUCUCAAGGUCAUAUUCGGCUUCUACAGAAAGGCUAAGAAGAUGUGGGAAGACGUUGUGGUGACUAGUGUCAUGGAUUAUAGUACCUUUGACCCUAGGCAAAACAAAUGAACAAUCAACCAAAGAAGUAUUUAAAGCCUUUUCAAUAAUAGAAAAGACUAUGUAGGUUAUAAAAGAUGGGACACAAAACCAUAAAAGAGUUCAGGAAGAGAAAAUUAUAGAUAGGUGAUGCAAGCCUUACCAAUUUACUUGGCCUCAUUGGUCUUAAUUUUGUCGUGAAAUAAGGAUUUUUGCUUUCAACAAUACUUGCCAUGGCAAAUGAAUUGUCUACCUCAGCCUGGGUGCAGGAAGGUUUUUUAUACGUGCUGUUGCUAUGAGAGGUUCCGAUGUAUGCAACUCUGGUUUUUUUUACAGCAGUUCGUUUGUAACCUCCUAAAUCAAGGAAGACUGUAGGUCAAAUAUGGACAAAUACAAUAUAUAUACUUAUGCCCAUAAAAGAAAUAAUGGAAAACUGUUGAGAAAAUAAAAGAAUUACAAAACUUAACUAUAAUUUCUUGUACCAAUUGGUGGUCGACCUCUGCCAGAAUAUUUAUGCUUCAAUACAACCACUUUCUUGUUAGAAGAUUUUGGUUGUGGUUCCUCUUCCUCUCUGUCAUUUGUUUUGUCCUCCUCCUCUUCAUCUGAUGACUCCUCUUCUUCCUCCUCUUCCUCCUCCUCCUCCUCCUCCUCCUCCUCAUCUUCUUCAUCUUCCUCUUCUUCUUCCUCAUCUUCCUCCUCCUCCUCCUCCUCCUCUUCCUCUUCCUCUUCUUCUUCUUCUUCUUCUUCCUCAUCCUCCUCUUCCUCUUGCUUCUUUUCUUCUCUUUCUGCUUCUUCCACAUCCUUUUCCUCCUUUACACUAAAAUCCUUUUGGUAGAUAUCCACACUAACCUUGUCAGUGUCUUUCUUUUCACAUGCAGUUCUCCCAAACAAUUUAAAAUCAAAUAUAUGAUUGCCGUCAUAUCGGAAAACCAAAAAGUCCCCCUCUUCUACAGAAUUAUCUGUCAGAAAUCGCUGCCAUCCGUUCAGAAAGCACACAUCCUUUCCAAUUUGGCCUACCUCCACAUGCCAAACUCUCCCAAAAAAAUCUCUGAGGAUGGCCUUUUCAGGCACAAGGCCAUUAAAGUGCCCUAUAAAAGCUGUUGGGAUGCGCUGCACAAUAAAAGGUAUGCAUGUCAGCGGAAAAUAGUCAAUCACAAUAACAAUUAACAAUAGAUUAUGUUUACCAAUAUUAUAUGGAAAACCUUUAUUUCUAUUUUCUUUAUUUUCAUCAUUUCUUGUGGGUUAAAAGAUGUAUACUGCUGUUGUAGGAUAUAGCAGUCCGCUAAACCAACUGAAAAAAGCCUUAAUGCAUGAUGACUUAAUUUAUUGUUGGUUCUAUGUUUGACAAAACCUCCACCUUUGGGAAUCACCUUAUACAUAGUUCAGAAAGGAGGAAGUUAAGGCUGACUGUAAUAAUAAUAUAUAUAUAAAAAAAAAUUGACAACCAAUGGGAAAAUUUUAAUGUGCUUUCUUUCAUGGACAUAUUUGCCAUAAGUCAGGGUCCAUAAACAUGCAUUUACUUCCUUGAAAUUGAAAUUGGAAGUUCUAAUUGAAAAGAUUGACUAUUUUAAAGUUCAAUAAAAUGGAAAUAAUGUCUUUAGAGUUCAAAUUUUACAGGUCUGACAGACUUCUGGCUCCUAACAUAUUGAUGUUAGGGAACAUGCAACAAAAGUGUUAAAUGAAUAGGAGAGCUUCUGGAAAGAAAAUGAGGCACUGUCAAAGUAGCCUUGUCCUAGACCUUUUUUUUUUUUUUUUUUGACAUUUUCUUCUAAUCACUAAAUUGAAUAAUUUUGCAGAUAUAUCAACUUGCAGCUACUUUCCUUUUUGAUUUUCAUUGGAAUUAUCUUUUCCAUCUUACAUAUCAAAGCUUUCUCGAGUGCAAUAAAAACCUGCAUUAAUUUUUCAAGUGAUAAGAUACCUUCACCAGUCAAUAUUGUGGCUAUGAAGACAAAUUGAUUUUUUUAACCCACUUAAUUGAUUUUUUUAACCCACUUAUGCACCAAAAAAUAGGUAUCACUGGGCUUUAUCUCUAUCCAAUUAGAAUUUCCUUUAUCCUUCAACUUUGUUAAACCUUUAAGCUAAUCUGAUUCUUUCAUAUAUUUCCCCCAAGACAUUUUUAAUAAGAACAAAAAAUAAAUAAAUAAAUAACAAAAAGCCAUGAGAAAAUAACUAAGGGAAAAAUGGACCCUUCUUGGAUUCCCAAUAUUUACAUAACAAACAAGAAACAAUGCUUUCCAAUGUUUAAUGAAUGCUACUUAAGACACUUUAUUAGAGUUGCCAUAUGUGACACUAACAAAAUCUAGCCACUAUCAUUUUUAAUGCUGUCAUAGACUUAUCAAAAAAAAAAAAAAAAAAAGUUAAUACAGUCAUAGCUGCCACUCCGUGUCAGUGACACUAUUGCGCUAACACAACCAAGGCCUCACUUAGAACCAUUAGCAUGUUGUACUGAUUAAUCAUAAUUCCCUGUUUGCUAGUAUUAAAAAACAUAAUUGGAUAAGUACUUUGUUCUUGCUUUAAGUUAGAGGAAAUAUUUUUCUGUUCUUUUCCAUAAGCUAAGUAACCUUUGUAACAGUCUGCUUGGUUGGGCAUUAGUUUAUUUCAAUGGUUUCACCCACCAUUUUCAAGGAAUAGGAGUACGGUUCAAACCUCUGAUGCGUCCAAGAUUAUAACCUAAAGCCUUGAUCUAUGAAGGUCCAUUUGUUUGAACUUACAGAAUAGAGUUUCCUUUCAUUCCAGUUCACACCAUCAUUCCUACAAAAACUUCUUCCUCUCACCAAUUCAUAGAUUGAAUGAUUUCACUUCUUGAUUUUUCAAGUGGGUGUUUUGGUUCCUACAUUUGUCAUCUCUUGCAUUCUGAAAAUUGUCAAAUGUCACUGGAACACUCAACCAAGUCACCUUGACAUAAAAGUAGCUUUCAUUGAGUAGCUCAAAGCCUCAAACCGAUUGGUUGGGUAUUCUUAGGAGAGAAGUCACCAUAAUCAAGACAAAGAACUAAACACUAAGGACCAAGUAUCCUAAAGGCAAAAUGUCGAACUCCAACAUACAUGAAUUGGUAAAUUACUGUGUCGAGAAAUUGUCAUAAGAGGCAUAUCCAACCCUGAUUAUCCUUUCUUUUUCUUGACUUUUCUUUCUUUCUUUCUUGUUUGUUCCACUAUUCAAUCUAAUAUCUAUGAAGAUUACAGCAGUCAUCUCCUGAAAACCCCACAACACCAUGGUAUUCCCAAGUCCCCUAGACAAUCUUAUCCUAUGAAUAAUGCAUGACCUGCCUUUUUUUUUUUUUUUUUACAUAAUACUACAUUUCCCUAUACUCAAUGGCUUAUGAAAUUAAAAUUACCCCAGAUUCAACCUAUCAAAACUCAAAUCAAAGUCCAAAAUGCCAGCUAAAUAAGCAAACAAAUUGGAGAAUUUACAAGUCCUACAAUCAGUCAACCUCACAAGGGUAAAGCCACCAUGUUUUUCAACAUUCAAAGCUACAAACUUCGCAAAUCAAACAAACCAUGCUUAACCUUUCAAGAGCCCAAAAAAGAAAAGGAAAAACAGAGAACCGAGACCUAGAAAAUGUGGAAUAUUUUCUCAUACAAAAAGGGUAUCAGAGAGAGCUGAUUACCAGUCUGUCCGAGCUGUAUUCUGGGAGAUACACUUUGAAGAAUUCAGGCAACACUCUUGGUGGUGAACUCAUCAGGAUCAACAACAAAAAAUAACACUCCAAGAACCCAGAGAAGAAGGCGAGUAUAUCAGCUAGAAGGGAAAACCCAUUGUUUCAGCUCACAAGGCCACACCUACUUAUAUCAGCAAAAACCCAGAGGCAUUUCUGAAACCAGGAGCAAGAAAAGCAAGAGACGGCCAGUUGUGUCAGACACAGUGGCCUCAUCCUCAUCUGUGGCGCGUGGAGGCACUUCCCAAUGGGUGAUUUGGGAUGUGGAGUGUGGUUAACACAAGAGUGUGCAGGUACGUGGUCGGACAAUGAAGAAUAUGGAGCGAAAACACAAAACGCUGAGCUGUGUUUUCUGAAAACAUUUUCAUUGUUUUCUCCGCUUCUCAAUCUUCAGUUUUCAUUAUCUUCCAUACCUGAAAGCGUUUUGCUCAGAAAGUUUGUUGCGUUUUUUUGGGCUUUUUCUGAAAAGUGUAAUCCCUGUGGGCUGAUUCUCUGAUAGCGACUGUUAAAGAAAAUCCUCCAAUUUUUUAUUUCGUCUUCUUCCUGAGUCUCCUCUUCCCUCAGUUGGGUGUAGGCUUGUAGCCCAUUUAUGAUUUAUCAUCUUCACAAUUAUUUUUGUUUUUUAUAUUAGUUAUAUUAUUCAUUAAAAAUAAAUAAAAAAAUCAAAGCCAUUCAAUUCCUUUUUGGUAAUAAUGUCAGGAAAAAAUGUUGAAGAAGGUCAAAAGAAAACAAAAGCAUAUUAUUUUUUAUUUUUUAACUUAAAAAUAGUUUAUAAAAACAAAUUUUAAAAAAUAUUAUCUAAUAAAUUAAUUUUUUAUUUUUAUUUUAAAAAACGGGUGAAAAUAACUCUUAUUUGUUUUUUAGAACUUGUUUUUUUAAUUCAUUUUGUUUUUAAAAAUUAUUUUUAAAGAUAACGAUUAAAUAGUAUUAAAAAAUUUUAAAAAUAAUUUUUAUUUUUAAAAAUAAAAAAUUAUUUUUAUAUUUUAUAAUAUGAAGAAUAAUUAAAAAUAAAGUACUCAAAAUAAAAUUAUUUUAAAUUAGGAUUCGGAUUUUAGUUUUUGAAAUCACUUUGUUUUUGUAUUUUGAAAUUGUUUUGCAAAACACUUUGAAAGGGGAUCACAAAUUGUGAAGGUAGAAUGUCAACCCAAUUCCAAAAGACUGUAUUAGAAUUAAGGAGUCCAACAUUUGAAAUGUUGUUACACCGAGGAGUAAUUUUUGUUUUUUCAAUUUUGAUAAUGUGAAUAAUUUCCAUGAGUUGUCCACUUGUCCCAUUGCGACGUCGUAUAGGGCUGCUUCCUUUUCUUCCUCUUUCUCUCUGCAAUUUCGGUGAAUUAGAGAGGAGGGUAGGGAGAGGACGGCGAGAGUGAGAGAGAGAGAAUGGAUCAAUCUUUCUUGUUAAUGUUGUCGAAUCUCCUCCACCUCCACAACCACCUUGAUCCCACCACCACCUCUCUCCUCUCCGACACCUCCACUGCCACCACCACUGCUACCACUUCCCCCACUUCCCCUACCUCCCUUCUCUCCUCCACCUCCGCCGCCCCACUCCUGUUCUUCACCAUCGCCUCUGUCCUUUCCUAUGUUGCCUCCUCUCGCCCAUCUUCCUCCUCCUCCACCUCCGCAGCCGCAGCCGCCGCCGCCCCCAACCCAGCGACUACUUCUUCCACUUCCGACUACUCCGUCUCCGCCUUCAGGGCACUCUCCACCGAGCACAUCUGGGCCAUGGAAGCCCCUCUCCGAGACGCCCAAUGGCGAUCGCUCUACGGCCUCUCCUAUCCCGUUUUCACCACCGUCGUCGACAAGCUCAAACCCUACAUCGCCCUCUCCAACCUCUCUCUCCCCUCGGACUACGCCGUCGCCAUGGUCCUCUCUCGCCUCUCCCACGGCUUCUCCGCCAAAAC
rnacentral:lncRNA from 1 species